rnacentral:lncRNA from 1 species
AUGAUCAUCUCCUCCAACAGAAUACCCCAGAGAAAGGGUGGCUUGCUACCAGCUUCCCACCAGCUUCUAACAGCUCCCAACAGCCCUUCUUCUUCUCCAGUUCUGCCUCUUAUGCUACCAGCAACAAUCCUCAGGCUUUCAUAUAGAAAGUUUCCCUAAACACCCUGCAUCUAAACGAAUUAUACUUCAG